UACGCACGCUGGCGGCGUGCUUAACACAUGCAAGUCGAACGGAAAGGCCCUGCUUGCAGGGUGCUCGAGUGGCGAACGGGUGAGUAACACGUGGGUGAUCUGCCCCUUACUUUGGGAUAAGCCUGGGAAACUGGGUCUAAUACUGGAUAGGACCAUGCUGUAGGUGGUGUGGUGGAAAGAUUAGUUUCGGUAAGGGAUGAGCUCGCGGCCUAUCAGCUUGUUGGUGGGGUAAUGGCCUACCAAGGCGUCGACGGGUAGCCGGCCUGAGAGGGUGGACGGCCACAUUGGGACUGAGAUACGGCCCAGACUCCUACGGGAGGCAGCAGUGGGGAAUAUUGCACAAUGGGCGCAAGCCUGAUGCAGCGACGCCGCGUGGGGGAUGACGGCCUUCGGGUUGUAAACUCCUUUCAGCCAUGACGAAGCCCUUGUGGUGACGGUAGUGGUAGAAGAAGCACCGGCGAACUACGU
rnacentral:rRNA from 1 species